CCGCUGCAGGCCUAGAUCCUAACCUAACUUAACCUAAUCUAACCUAACCUAACCUUGAAACCGCCUAGAGGGGACGUCCAACUCGAGCAGCGGCACUGCCACUCGUGCCAGGAUUGGCUGAGACGACCUGGAGGGGACGCAUUACAAUCAGCUACACACCACAGCGCGCCAUUGGCCGACAUGUCGAGCCGAGGGAUAUCCGAGCGCUGAUUGGUCGAGCGUGACUGGAGGGGCACGCCAGUAUAAAUUGGGACGCAGCGGCGCCCCAUUAGCUUGUUCAAGCCCGAAUUCGUGACGGGUAAGACCUCCGCGUGGUUUUAACUCGCGAUAAGGAUAGAUUAGCGUUUGCAAUCGAACAAGUUCCGCGGAAGCGCAACCGCGUUAACAAUAAAGUCACAACCGUUCGCUGAAUGCGAGUAAGCAACGGAAAGGUAGCAUAUACGAAUCUUAGCGCCGAACGAAUAAAACGCGCUCAUAACGAAACGUUUGUGAAUAAGCGACGCGUUCGGGCAAGUGUUCAUAGCGCGAUAGCGCAUAAGUAAAUUACGAAACGAAUGUGAUAAGGCGACGCGUACGGGAGUGCUGUUAAUAGGAUAAGUGUUACGUUUUAAUAAAUUAUUUAUUUUGUGGAUAUAAAACAAAAGAAACUGUGUAGUGAAUACUUACCUGUUACUUACCUGCAUGUGAUCCAACGACGAAUCCGAGGGAUUCCUGAAAAUAAAAGUCCUGAAUAUUAAAUAUCCGGGGUAUCCUGUUCAUACGUAGAGUGUAAACCAACGUACCUGAGCAUCUCCUUGGAGGGACGAGGCGAUCCGGAGAGUCAGCAGUGAUCCAACGGCGAGAGCAGCUUUUCCUGAAUAUAAUAAAAAUAAAGAUUAGCAAAUCCUGUAGCGACAGAGAUACGCUCGUGAAAGCGUAGAGCAAAGAAAUUAACAAUUAGUGAAGGUUUUGUGCUGAAUAACCUAGUUAGCGCAAAUAGCACCUGUCCGACGGCAAACGAACAACAGUCAACGCAGCAGGCGACGGACGGACAUUCCUUGCUUCUGGGUGGUGAAAGGAGCUGGCGACCAAUACGACGUGGACGAGAGUCUUCAAAAGAAGCUCCCAGCACCCCGACCCGGCGGCGGCAGUGGCGUCGACGUCUGGCCUUUCGGCGACCCAAACCAAGCUGUUCGUGUCCGAACGAGUCGAGAGGAAGACCAGCGACGGGAAAAGUAUAGUAAGCGUCAUCCUGCAGCGUACCCCAGUACCAACCGACGACGGGGCAACCACAGGCAAGCCGACCCGACCCGAGGCUGAAGGGAAAGAGGCGUAGGACGCGGUUACACCAACACCAGGUCAAACCCCGAAACGUUCAUUUUAUUUUAUUGUCAUUUCCGGACGGGUGUUUGUUUAAUUUUAAUUUAGUAUAAUAGCGGCGGAAAACCAGCGCGCGCGACCAAAGUUAAAUUUUAUGCAUUUAUCUAUCUAUUUUAUGUGCCAAUAACACAUACAUAUUCGUGUGUUAACUAUUAUAAUCUUAGACGUAAGUUAAUCCAAUAAUAUUCCAAAUUCGCAUUUACAUGUUUUACGUGUUCUACACAUCAUGGCCUAUGUACCUAUAAUGGUCAUGUUAACAUUAGUUAUUUUUCUUCUUUUGACUAUUCUAAUCAUUAUAAUAUGCUUUCCGGAUUAAUGUUAUAAAACGAUCCACAUUUAGUCGUAUUACGUUUAUAUGUCAUUUUAUAAGUUUUCUAACCUCUAAUAGUCAUUUGCUAUCCGACAUGUAUUUAAAACUGUUUCAUUUAACCCCUUUUUGUACUGGCAAGCAUGGUGCCAGAAGCACAAUGCAUGUGCUCUAAUUUUAAGUUAGCUAGUCUAAAUACACUUAGGCUCAACGUCAAAUUUCUUCUAUUAUUUAUAUUUAGCGACAUUACGUGUGAUUCAAGUCAUUUUAUACAUUUUACAAGUUUUUAGUUCAUUUACUAAAUCUUAACCAAACUGCACCUUAAGUGCAAUCUUUAUAGUAUAAACUGCACUUUAAGUGCAAUAUUCAAAAAUUUAGGAAAACAUUAGUAAAUGCAUCAAAUCGCACUCUGGUGCGUUUUUUUACGUACAACCGACACCCACUAAGGGAUUAGUACUAUUUGAUAUUAUUUUAUCUUACGAAAUUGUCAUUUUGACAUGUUUGAAGCACAACUCUUGUGCUAUGCUUAUUUUCUUACAAAUCUAAUUAUUUUGAGGCUUAACGCGACCUUUUUAGUUUCAUACGCUUAUUCGAUGCAUUCCCUAGUGUCGUGGCUUUAGUGAGCCACGAAUAACAUAAAAUCCCUUAGUCAUUGUGGAUUGCACCUUAAGUGUGAUCAUCGGCAUAUAGCUGCGCUUGCAAGUGCAGUCUCCACUCGAUGGUGGGGAUACGCCAAGAUGGAGGGGGCAACAGACGCGAUGCCCCACAGCGCAACGACGCCGCGCAGCCGUGCAAGCCACAAGGAGUGGGGGCUUCAACCAAGCCUUGCGCCCGGUAACACCGACGCCACGCGGGUCUAGCGGAUCCCGACGGGAGGGGGUAGCGUCACUCUCCCGGUACUUAAGCAAGCAGCGAGAGCUCUCGCGAGCUUUCGCGCCAGAUCUUUUAUAGCGUUAACAUCUUGGAAGUUCGGAGACGAGCUUUCGCGCCCGAACUUUUACCACGAUAACAUCUCGUAAAAUAGAAGACGAGUUUCGCGCGCUAGGGCGUUGGUCGCUGAAUGCGAGUAGGUGACCACCAGCGGAAGUUCCGCGAUUCGAGUGAUUUAAGAAUCGUUUCGCGUAAUAAAUCAUCGUCACCCGAAUGCGAGUAGGAGUGACAAAUUGCGAAGACUAUUCAUUAGUCUUAUUCGUUCACUCGUUUGUGAAUUAAGCGACGCGGACGGGAAGUGUCUGUGAUAUAAGGAGAAGAUACAUAUAUUAUUGAAUAAAUUUUUUAUAUUUUAUUGUUAAUUAAACCAAAGAGAACUGUUUACUUACCCAAGUGUUGUGCGACGAUCCUGAUCCUGGGAGACGAUCCUUGAUGAACCUGAAA